UCAACGCAGGUACAUGGGUAAUGAGUUAUCAUAUAAAGUUAAAACUGAUGAAUCAUUAGUAGAGUACAAGUUAAAUGUUUUUCAAAUAAUUUAGGUAGACAGACUAAGCGUGAUUUGCAAAAGCAAUCCUCUUAUGAAUUAGCUCUACGUUGUCUAUGGGCAUUAUGUACACAGUACACAAAUUUAAAUGAACUUAUAUUUCAUCUAUUAUGUAUGCUGAGAAAUCACAAAUUUUGAAUGAAGAAUGCAAUACACUCUUAUAUAUCUAAGAUUUAACACUUA